rnacentral:rRNA from 1 species
UACGGGGGGGGCAAGCGUUGUUCGGAAUUACUGGGCGUAAAGGGCUCGUAGGCGGCCAACUAAGUCAGACGUGAAAUCCCCAGGCUCAACCUGGGAACUGCGUCUGAUACUGGAUGGCUUGAAUCCGGGAGAGGGAUGCAGAAUUCCAGGUGUAGCGGUGAAAUGCGUAGAUAUCUGGAGGAAUACCGGUGGCGAAGGCGGCAUCCUGGACCGGCAUUGACGCUGAGGAGCGAAAGCCAGGGGAGCAAAG